UACGUAGGGUGCAAGCGUUAAUCGGAAUUACUGGGCGUAAAGCGUGCGCAGGCGGUUUUGUAAGUCAGAUGUGAAAUCCCCGGGCUUAACCUGGGAACUGCGUUUGAAACUACAAGGCUAGAGUGUGGCAGAGGGGGGUGGAAUUCCACGUGUAGCAGUGAAAUGCGUAGAGAUGUGGAGGAACACCGAUGGCGAAGGCAAUCCCCUGGACCUGUACUGACGCUCAUGCACGAAAGCGUGGGGAGCAAACAGG
rnacentral:rRNA from 1 species